rnacentral:rRNA from 2 species
AAACUUUCAACAACGGAUCUCUUGGUUCUGGCAUCGAUGAAGAACGCAGCGAAAUGCGAUAAGUAAUGUGAAUUGCAGAAUUCAGUGAACCAUCGAAUCUUUGAACGCACAUUGCGCCCGCCAGCACUCUGGCGGGCAUGCCUGUCCGAGCGUCAUUU